AAAAAGAUUCUCGUGAAUGGGCAACUGAUUUAUUCUAUUCAAAGAAUGUUGUUGGACUUAGAGCUGAUAUUAUAAUUACGAAUAAUAUAACCAAUGGGUUAAAACACUUUGAUGAUCAAACACCCGUGCCAAUGAAAAACGAAGAUAAACUCCGAGAAUUACAAAGUAUUCAAGAAAUGGUUGACAGUAACAACAUUGAAAAUUCAUUUAAAAAGAUGAAAAUUUUCGGAAUCUAUUCUACUACCGAGUUGCAAAAUACCAUCAAGUCCUUACGAAGCCUUGUGUAUGGAACAAGACGUAGAAAUGCU